GUGCUUGCUUUGGCAGCAUGUAUACUAAAACUGGAAUGAUACAGAGAAGAUUAGUAUGGUCCUGCUCAAGGAUGACACGCAAAUUCAUGAAGUGUUCCAUAUUUUU
rnacentral:snRNA from 1 species